CAGGCUUAACACAUGCAAGUCGAGGGGCAGCAUGGUCUUAGCUUGCUAAGGCCGAUGGCGACCGGCGCACGGGUGAGUAACGCGUAUCCAACCUGCCUUACACUCUUGGACAGCCUUCUGAAAGGGAGAUUAAUACAAGAUGUUAUCAUGAGUAAGCAUUUUCGCAUGAUUAAAGGUUUACCGGUGUAAGAUGGGGAUGCGUUCCAUUAGAUAGUAGGCGGGGUAACGGCCCACCUAGUCUUCGAUGGAUAGGGGUUCUGAGAGGAAGGUCCCCCACAUUGGAACUGAGACACGGUCCAAACUCCUACGGGAGGCAGCAGUGAGGAAUAUUGGUCAAUGGACGAGAGUCUGAACCAGCCAAGUAGCGUGAAGGAUGAAGGUUCUAUGGAUUGUAAACUUCUUUUAUACGGGAAUAAACGGAUCCACGUGUGGAUUUUUGCAUGUACCGUAUGAAUAAGGAUCGGCUAACUCCGUGCCAGCAGCCGCGGUAAUACGGAGGAUCCGAGCGUUAUCCGGAUUUAUUGGGUUUAAAGGGAGCGUAGAUGGGUUGUUAAGUCAGUUGUGAAAGUUUGCGGCUCAACCGUAAAGUUGCAAUUGAUACUGGCAGUCUUGAGUACAGUUGAGGUAGGCGGAAUUCGUGGUGUAGCGGUGAAAUGCUUAGAUAUCACGAAGAACUCCGAUUGCGAAGGCAGCUUACUAACCUGUAACUGACAUUGAUGCUCGAAAGUGUGGGUAUCAAACAGGAUUAGAUACCCUGGUAGUCCACACGGUAAACGAUGAAUACUCGCUGUAGGCGAUAUACAGUCUGCGGCCAAGCGAAAGCAUUAAGUAUUCCACCUGGGGAGUACGCCGGCAACGGUGAAACUCAAAGGAAUUGACGGGGGCCCGCACAAGCGGAGGAACAUGUGGUUUAAUUCGAUGAUACGCGAGGAACCUUACCCGGGCUUAAAUUGCAACCGAAUAUGGCGGAAACGCUAUAGCUAGCAAUAGCGGUUGUGAAGGUGCUGCAUGGUUGUCGUCAGCUCGUGCCGUGAGGUGUCGGCUUAAGUGCCAUAACGAGCGCAACCCUUGCCGAUAGUUACUAACAGGUUAUGCUGAGGACUCUGUCGGGACUGCCAUCGUAAGAUGUGAGGAAGGUGGGGAUGACGUCAAAUCAGCACGGCCCUUACGUCCGGGGCUACACACGUGUUACAAUGGGGGGUACAGAGGGCUGCUACCACGCAAGUGGAUGCCAAUCCCAAAAACCUCUCUCAGUUCGGAUUGAAGUCUGCAACCCGACUUCAUGAAGCUGGAUUCGCUAGUAAUCGCGCAUCAGCCACGGCGCGGUGAAUACGUUCCCGGGCCUUGUACACACCGCCCGUCAAGCCAUGGGAGCCGGGGGUACCUGAAGUGCGUAACCGCAAGGAGCGCCCUAGGGUAAAACUGGUGACUGGGGCUAAGUCGU
rnacentral:rRNA from 1 species